rnacentral:rRNA from 1 species
GAUCGGCUAACUCCGUGCCAGCACCCGCGGUAAUACGGAGGAUCCAAGCGUUAUCCGGAUUUAUUGGGUUUAAAGGGUGCGUAGGCGGCCUGUUAAGUCAAGGGUGAAAGACGGUCCCUCAACUAUCGCAGUGCCCUUGAUACUGAUGGGCUUGAAUUGACUAGAGGUAAGCGGAAUGUGACUAGUAGCGGUGAAAUGCAUAGAUAUGUCACAGAACACCGAUUGCGAAGGCAGCUUACUAUGGUCUUAUUGACGCUGAGGCACGAAAGCGUGGGGAUCAAACAGGAUUAGAUACCCUGGUAGUCCACGCCCUAAACGAUGAAUACUCGCUGUUGGCGAUACACAGUCAGCGGCUAAGCGAAAGCGUUAAGUAUUCCACCUGGCGAGUACGCCCGCAAGGGUGAAACUCAAAUGAAUUGACGGAUGACCGG